AAGCACAAGGAGAAGGCCAUCGCGUCCUACCUCCCGUAUAUCCUCGCCACGGCCAAGAAGAUCAAGGAGCAGGACAGGACGCUCAAGAUCUACAUGAACGAAGGUGAGUCCUGGUUUGCCAUCGACCUCCACCACCCGUCCACCUUCACCACGCUCGCCAUGGACCACAAGAUGAAGCAGUCGGUCAUGGAUGACCUCGAGAGGUUUGUCAAGAGGAAGGAGUACUACAAGAGGAUUGGCAAGGCGUGGAAACGGGGGUACCUCCUGUAUGGCCCGCCUGGGACCGGCAAGUCCAGCCUGAUUGCAGCCAUGGCCAACUACCUCAAGUUCGACGUCUAUGAUCUCGAGCUGAC
rnacentral:lncRNA from 1 species